rnacentral:rRNA from 1 species
CAGUCGCCGCGGUAACACGUAGGGUGCGAGCGUUAAUCGGAAUUACUGGGCGUAAAGCGUGCGCAGGCGGUUGUGUAAGACAGGUGUGAAAUCCCCGGGCUUAACCUGGGAACUGCGCUUGUGACUGCACAGCUAGAGUAUGGCAGAGGGGGGUGGAAUUCCACGUGUAGCAGUGAAAUGCGUAGAGAUGUGGAGGAACACCGAUGGCGAAGGCAGCCCCCUGGGCCAAUACUGACGCUCAUGCACGAAAGCGUGGGGAGCAAACAGGAUUAGAUACCCCCGUAGUCCCUGUCUCUUAUAC